UACAGAGGGUGCAAGCGUUGUUCGGAAUUAUUGGGCGUAAAGCGCGUGUAGGCGGCUUUGCAAGUCGGAUGUGAAAGCCCCCGGCUCAACUGGGGAGGGUCAUUCGAUACUGAUCGACUCGAAGGCAGGAGAGGGUAGUGGAAUUCCCGGUGUAGUGGUGAAAUGCGUAGAUAUCGGGAGGAACACCAGUGGCGAAGGCGACUACCUGGCCUGUUCUUGACGCUGAGGCGCGAAAGCUAGGGGAGCAAACGGG
rnacentral:rRNA from 1 species